rnacentral:misc_RNA from 1 species
AAGACUAUAGACCUGCGGAGUACCUGCGGAGGGAUCAUUACAGAGUUUUCUAAACUCCCAAACCUUUGUGAACUUACCACUGUUGCCUCGGCGGAAGCUAUUGGGGUUACCCUGUAGCGACCGCCGGUGGACCAACCCAACUCUUGUAAUUUUGAGAAAUCUGAGAGUCUUAUACAAAUAAGUCAAAACUUUCAACAACGGAUCUCU